rnacentral:rRNA from 1 species
UGCCAGCAGCCGCGGUAAUACGGAGGGUGCAAGCGUUAUUCGGAAUUAUUGGGCGUAAAGGGCGCGUAGGCGGCUUUGUAAGUCGGAUGUGAAAGCCCUGGGCUCAACCUGGGAAUGGCAUUCGAUACUGCAUGGCUAGAGUAUGGUAGAGGGAAGUGGAAUUUCCGGUGUAGCGGUGAAAUGCGUAGAUAUCGGAAGGAACACCAGUGGCGAAGGCGACUUCCUGGACGGUGACUGACGCUCAGACUCGAAAGUGUGGGGAGCAAACAGGAUUAGAUA